UCUGCACCGCCACGCUCCUCCCAGCUCGGUGAGCCUCCCCAUGUGAUCCUUUCUUCCCCCUAAAUAAAGUUGAAAAAUUUGGCUGGGAGCAGCGAGUGCUGCUGAGGCAGCGGGUGCGCGGAGCCGUCCCACCCUCCCCACAUCUGCAGCACAACCCAGGCGCCCGCUCGGCACCGGCUGCCUUCAGGACGGAGGGCGAUGAGGCUGGCCACUUAGCCGGGGUGCGGGCUACCUCCAUGCCAGCCUUCAGCAGGGGCUCCCAGCCUUGCCAGCCCCUGCUCGCUCCCCCUUUUUUGAGAGGAGCCCAGCGGGCCGAGGACGAUGUGGCCGGAGAAGCUCUAAAGUGCUUUCAAGUUUUCAUUUACCCUGUAACUCAAGAGAACAAUUAGACAAUCCACUUGGACCUGCACUGGAAUCUGAUAGCUGUGGAUACAGAUGAGAUGAGAUACAGGUUCAGGCAA